rnacentral:sRNA from 1 species
AGAAAAGUAGGUGCCGCCCCGCACAGGGGCGACGCGUGAAGCACGCUAACGUAACGCGGAUGCCAGCAAAAAACAAAACCAACCAAACCCACAUCACCGGCGCAUGUGCUGCAC